GACGAACGCUGGCGGCGUGCCUAACACAUGCAAGUCAGGGAGAAAGAGGUAGCAAUAUCUCGAGUAAACCGGCGAACGGGUGAGUAACACGUAGGUAACCUGCCCUCGAGUUGGGAAUAACUUCGAGAAAUCGAGGCUAAUACCGGAUAAUGCAACGAACCCGCAUGGGUUUGUUGUUAAAGUUCCGCGCAAGCGGAACGCUUGAGGAUGGACCUGCGGCCGAUUAGCUAGUUGGCGAGAACAGCCCACCAAGGCGACGAUCGGUAGCCGACCUGAGAGGGUGACCGGCCACACUGGGACUGAGAUACGGCCAGACUCCUACGGGAGGCAGCAGUGAGGAAUAUUGGUCAAUGGGCCGAAAGGCUGAACCAGCAACGCCGCGUGAGGGAUGAAGAUCUAAGGAUCGU
rnacentral:rRNA from 1 species